AUUGAACGCUGGCGGGGUGCUUUACACAUGCAAGUCGGACGAGUGGCGGACGGGUGAGUAAUGCAUCGGAACGUGCCCAGUAGUGGGGGAUAACUGUCCGAAAGGAUAGCUAAUACCGCAUACUAUUCGAGCGGCCGAUAUCUGAUUAGCUGGUUGGCGGGGGAAAGGCUCACCAAGGCGACGAUCAGUAGCGGGUCUGAGAGGAUGAACAGCCACACUGGGACUGAGACACGGCCCAGACUCCUACGGGAGGCAGCAGUGGGGAAUUUUGGACAAUGGGCGCAAGCCUGAUCCAGCCAUGCCGCGUGUCUGAAGAAGGCCUUCGGGUUGUAAAGGACUUUGGGCAGGGAAGCGGUACCUGAAGAAUAAGCACCGGCUAACUACGUGCCAGCAGCCGCGGUAAUUC
rnacentral:rRNA from 1 species